CUUCUCCCCUAGUANAACGUCGCGACCCGUUGGGNGUCGGUCUACGGCCCGAGUGAUAGUCUUUAAUAUUUUAUUAUAUUGAAGUCUCUCGGUGUUUUCUGACCGGCUACUCGGCGGUACACGUACGGUAUUAAGCCGCAAUUAUUUGCGUCCAUUCCCGUCGCAAGCGAGGCCUUCUGAUAGUACGGACCUAGUGCCGUCGUUGGUAUUGGCCAGCUGUUGGCUGUUACGGUGUUCUGGGACUGGCUUAAAUUAAUUACCGGUCGGCGAUGCUACUGCUUUGGGUACUUUCAGGACCCGUCUUGAAACACGGACCAAGGAGUCUAACAUGUGCGCGAGUCAUUGGGAUUUUUUUUAAAUUAAACCUAAAGGCGCAAUGAAAGUAAAGGUCGUCCUUGCGUCGACCGAGGGAGGAUGAGUUGUGUUAUGAUACAGCUUCGCACUCCCCGGGGCGUCUCAUUCUUAUUACAAGAAG
rnacentral:rRNA from 1 species